AGAGAGCUCCACGUUUGCGUGAACUCCUGCGAUGUGUGUUGGGUCACUGGGAUGUGGGACACGGCACAGCCCUGCUGCCUCAACUCUGCAUCUGCGCCCCGUGCCCCUCAAACCCACUCCGUGCAAUGGGGUGGGCCCAUGAGGUCCUUCUUGUUCCCCCACCUGAAAAUCAUAUAAUCAUUAAGGUUCAAAAGACGAAUAAGAUCAUCUAGUCUAACUGUCAACCCAUGCCUGUGACCUCUCUAGGCCAUGUCCAUCGGUGCCACAUCUCCAUGGUUCUUGAACCCCUCCAGGGAUGGUGACUCCACCACCGCCCUGGGCAGCUUCACCGCUCUUCCUGAGAAGAAAUUUCUCCUAAUAUCCAACCAAAAAUGGUGGAACCCAUGGAAAUGGCUAAGAAUGAAGGGGAAGUUGGGGAGCUGGGUAAUGUCCAGCAUCCGAUGGGUGCGCAAAGCACAGGGAGGUGUUCCAAGAGGAGGAAACCUGGGACAGCUUCAGAGCACGGAAGGGAAAAGCCCUGUGGCUGAUCCCAGCCCAGCAGCCGACCCUGAGGUUUGAUGGUUUUGCAGAUUUUAUGUUUUUUUGCACUAGAGGGUGCUGCUCUGUUAGCAUUCGGGAACGCUUGCAGCACCGUAUUGCUUUCACCGCUGUGUUGUGUGGGGUUGGGCUGAGGGGAUGCGUGUUGGUGCUCACAGCAGCACUCAGACAGGCCUGGGGUGAAGGAGGGCUGCUGAGCUGGGAAAGAAGAACUUCUUGGCGUGGAAAAGUUCUAUACAUCUAGAGUCAAGGCUCCAGGAUGAAUGAGUGCCUCGGGGAGCUGAGAAAUGAGACAACGCAGUGAGAAGAGGACAGUGAGUGCAGACACUGCCAGUACCGAACCUUUGGAAUUCACUGCUGCAGGACGGAUAGCCAACGACUCGUGGUGAUGUGCUCUAGCAGAAGGAAAAUCAAAGUGCCCUUUUAUAACUGUUCAGAUAUAAAGUGAAGGGCAUCCAGCCCCCUGACACCAGCAUGGAGAAUGAUGUGUGGGAGGGACUGUGGGAAAUGACCUCACCAUGCACGGCCAUGCCCACUGGCCGUGUUUCCAUCACACAGGGCACAGAGCAAGUGGGCAGUGCCCAGGGAGAGGACACAUCUCUUUUGGGCAGAUGGGUCCCAUUAGGGUUCUUUAAAGGCAGCAAUGGCACCAUUCUGCAGAGGUGUGCUCCUAGCAAGGAAGGCACUGUUUUAAAGCCCACCAGGCUGGUGCUCUCUGUGUUUAAGUCCACUCAGAGCAUGGAAGGAGGGCUGGAAGAAAACCAAUAAUUACUCUCAGAUAAAAUUAGUUUUACAAAGUGAUUUUCUUCUAGAAUCUUGGAUUCACACACGGGCUGCCUGUACUGUAGAUAUACCUGCAUUCUGAUAGCUCUAUUUCCAGUGUUCCUGCAUUUCUGACUGCUGUUGGCAAGAAGCUGUAGAUUGUUUCUCACACAGUUUUCUUAUGCAGUCUUUAGUGUCUCCUCCAAUCCUGGAUGUCCUUUAAACAUUGCACCUUUAAGGUACUGCUACUGCAGGGGCCACGGCAGGAGGCAUUACUGCACAAACCAGAUGAGUAUGGGGGAUUUAGGUGGAGUUACUCCAAUUAAACCACUGGAGAAUGCCCUGCUCUAGGAAUGGCAACUGCCCUAUUAAAGCAAGCUGGGUGUGUGCAUCCCAGCAGCUGUGCAGGAGCACAGCACAGUGGGGCAGCACUGCUGCCGUGUCUCCUCUCAUCAGCUGCUGGGGCUAAUUGCAGGGGCUCUCUGCAGACCUCUCAGCUUGUGUGGCCUGGAAAAUCCCAGGGACAAUCUUCAGGCAGUGCACAGGUGGGGUAACCCAUGGAGCCUGCAAUGCCAAAGCAGAGAGUUUGGGGAAUGGUGGCAGAAAAGCUUUUCUUCCAGGUGGAGUUAAUCCUCUGCAUGCUGACACCCCUGGGGGAGGGAGCAGGCAGGCAGGGUUGGAGAAAAUUUGGGAGACUGCUGUUUCAACUUUGAGCAGCUUAAACACAAACCCUACAGCACCAAGGGAUCGCAGCUCCAAAUGCCUGAAAAUGGGCUUCCCAAAGGCUGGCACACAGAGCAGAACUGCCUGACCCAACUGCAAGGAAACUCUGAGGAAGGGACCAUCUUGACCCGGCUGUCCCGCAGCAGGCAGCUUCCUUUCCCAGGGCUGUGGGGAUGCUAGUUAUUACCCUGGUGUUUUUAAAAAUAGGAUUGAUGUAGCUGCAAGUUUUCAUGAAAAAUAAAGAGAAAUAAAGGAAUGAAGAACGAAAGAGAAGAUAGAAAAAGGGGAAGAAAGGAAGGAAGGAAGAAAAGAAAGAAAAAGAAAUGAAGAAAGAAACAAAACAAAUGAAGAAAGAAGGAAAAAAAGGAAAGGAGGGAAGGGAAAGGAAGGGAAAGAAAGAAAUGAAGAAAGGAAAGAAAAAGAAAGGAAGGAAAGAAAGAAAAAGAAAUGAAGAAAGAAGAGAAAGAAAUGAAAAGUGAAAAGAAAGAAGUGAAAAAGAAAUUUAAAAAAAUGAAGAAAAGGACAGGAGAAAGAAGGAAGGAAGGGAGGAAGAAGAAGGGAAGGAAGGAAGGAAGAAAGUAUGAAAGGAAGAAACAAAGGAAGAAAAAAAUAGGAAAUAAAGUAGGAAAGAAAGGAAGAGGGAAAGAAAGUAAGGAAGAAGGGAAGAAGGAAAAAGAAAGAAAAGAAAGAAGGGAAAAAAAGAAAGAAAGAAGAAGGGAAGAAAGAAAGAAGGAGUGCGAAGGGCCGUGGCACAGCGGUGCCGUCGCGGAGCGGCGCGGAGCAGCGCGCAGCCCCAGCGCUGUGCCCUCGGCAGGUGGCGGCAGAGCGCGGCCGUGGGCCGGGGGGGGCCGGGGGUGCUCGGGCUGCGCUGCACCAGGGGGAUCCGAGGGGCCGUGCGAAGCGAUUGAAAAACGAAGUCUUCUAGAGAAAGCAGGAGUUUUGAUGUAUGGCAUCUAUGCGUUUCUAUCCGUAGGUAUAGACGGAACAAAAAAAGGCGUAUUUAAGCCUAAAAAAGAGAGAGAGCGUCGGGGUGGGACGCGGGGCGGCGGAGGGAGGCCCGGCCCCGGGCAGCUGGGUUGGGGGGGGGGGGGGGUGAUGGGGGGGGCCGGCCCAUCGCGGGGUGCUCCGAGCGGGGAGCGGAGCCGGGGAGCAGCGGUAGAGACGCGGGGUGCGCCCGGCUGCGGGCGUGCGGAGCUCGGGAGGUUCUUCUCCAUCUCCUCCUCGCUCGGCAUCGAGGGGAAAAAAAUAAUAAUAACAAUAAUAAAAAAAAAUCACAAUAAUAAAAGUCCUUCGGGACUCCAUUCCGCUAAAAAAAAAAAAAAAAAAAAAAAAAAAAAGCCAAGAAAACCGCAUCAUCUCCAGUCCAUUCGCCUCCUUCUCGAGUCCCUCGGAAAGCGAGAUUAAAGGGGAAAGUCGCAGCUGUAUAUUUGUGUUUUCAUUGCUAGAAGGGAAUUGAUUUCCUCGCAUUUAUUUUUGUAGUUGCAAUACACAAGGGCGGAUUUGCGUCACCCAAGCAACUUGCUGGUCGAGAUAAAGUUGCACAAAUAUUGAAAAGGGAAGUGCUCGCGCUCAUUAUGAAGUUUUUCUCCGGAAGAAAUAAGGAUUUCUGCUGUAUCCUAAAAUACUGAAGCCGCUUCUAUUUUAGGACAAAUCUCGCAGGCACAUCCGCUCAUUUAGUCCGAGUUGGAACCUCUCGAAAAAACAGGAGAUGACCCGGGCUGCAGCCGAGCCCCGCGCUUCCUGCAGCCUUCGGGCACCGCUGCGCACGGG
ensembl:lncRNA